CCUCACAGUGUUUCCAAAACCUCCCGGGGGCGGGAACGUGCCCCGUACCAGGGCUCUUUGUUAUGGCCCAACUGUGUGUCGGCUUCUGCCAGGAGUCCACCAGCCCACGUUCUCCCAGAGUGAAGUCAGAGGAUGUCAGAGCUGGGAGAGUCAUUAGAAAACCUCUGCCACCUCCUGAGGUUUCGGGCCACUGAGAGAAGAGGUUUCACCAUAUUUCUCAAGCUGGUCUCGAACUCCUCGCCUCAAGCAAUCCCCCAGCCUCCUCCUCCCAAAGUACGGGGAUUGCAGGCGUGAGCCACUGUGCCUGGCCUUGAUGUUACUAUUAAGCACCUAUUCCUGAUAGGAAAAGAGGAUAGGAGAACGCUUGUAUACCUAGAUGUGGAGAGCCUUGAAUAUCCGGCUGAGAAGUAUAGACUUUGUCCAAGAGACAAGUUGGAAGUGGGUCCCACCCCACCCAUCAGCCCAGCAGCUACGUGGAGAAUGUUUAAGCCACUGGCUAGCAAAGCUAAUUCAUUGUCUCUUUUUUUCUCUGUGUGUUCCUGAAUUAAACCCUUUUUCCUCCUUUUUUGAAAAA